CUUUGUGCGGGAGGUACAAGACGGAAUCCGAAGGCACACCGCUCGCCUGUAUUUGCUUUGCGGGUCCAGGGAGGAGGAGGAGGUCAUCAGGAUGUAACAAGUGAUGUGCCACAAGGAUCGAUGCUCUGACCUCAAACCGGUUACAAUCUAUACAAAUGAUUUGGAUGAAGGGACUGCAGCUGCAUGUGCAGAUGCUGAUCUCUGUGGAAGAAACCUUGGAAUGGCUGCGCUGGUACACAGCACAGAGAGAAAGUUGGCUGUGGCAUUUCCCACCACAAGUGCAUUCCAGAUUCCCACCACGCUUUGGGAGAAAAAAAAGUCCUCAAGUCGUCUGUAAACCUCCUGCUCUUCACCUUAACAUGAUGCGUCCUGGUUAUUGACCCUUCAACUAAGGGGAACAGCUGCUUCCUGUCCACCCUAUCCAGGCCCCUCAUUAUCUUAUACACCUUAAAUCAGAACCCCCCCGCCGCCUUCUUGCUCUAAAGAAAACAAUUUGAGCUUAUACCACCUCUCUUCACUGCUAAACUGCUACAACCCAGGCCACAUCCUGAUAAAUCUGUUCUGCACCCCCUCCAGAACAAUCACAUCCUUUCGUAUAAUGUGACAACCAGAGCUGCACACAGUUCUUCAUCUGUGGCUGAAGCAACCAAAGUCCAAUAUAACCUCCCCGCUCUUAUAAUCUGUUCCACAAGCCAUAAAUGCAAGUGUCCCAUAUGCCUUCUUAACUAUCGUAUUAACCUGCCCUGCAAUCAAACUCCCCAAGAUCCCACUGUUCCUCUGAGUUUCCUAGUGUUCUACCAUUCGUUGAGUACUCCCUUGUCUUGUUACCUCUUCCAAGGGGCAGCACCCCAAACUUUUCAAGGUUAAAUUCCAUCUGCCCAUCUGAUCUACCUGUCUAUGUCUUCCAGCAAACUCAGAUCUUCUUCCUCGCUAUUAACCACCCAGCCAAUCAUCUCACCCUUACAUUCUCAUCUGUACCAUUUUUAUAUACCACAAACAAUAAAAGAACCAGCACUGAUCCCUGUAUGCCACUGAGCACCAGUCUCCAGUUACACAAGCAGCCUUCUACCACCACUCUCUAUCUCCAAUCACAAAGCCAAUUUUGGAUCCACCUUGCCAAAUUAAGCUAAAUCCCAUGUACCUUUAUGUUCUUCACGAGUCUCCCAUGGGGGACCUUGUCAAAAGCUUUGCUGAAGUCCAUGUAAACUACAUCAACUCCACCACCCUCACCUACACACCGGAUUACCUCUUUGAAAAAUUCAAUCAAAUGUUUUAGGCAUGACCUGCUUUUGACAAAGCCGUGCUGUCUAUCCCUGAUCAAACCUCAGCUCUCCAAGUGGAAAUUAAUUCUCUCCUUCAGAAUUUUCUCCAGUUGUUUCCUCCC